GCCAUAUUAGGAAAACAAGCUUCAUAUAAGACUAAAUCUGAGAAUAAUAAUUUUAUUAACUGGCUAAGUGACUGGUACGUUCUAUUGAAAAGGCUAUGUACCGUUUUUCUUCAUCUCCUGUCACAAUAUUAGAUGUGCAACUAACCCUAUCACAAACAACCUUCUUCUGGCCUCGGAACACCUCUGUUGAAAUGACGAGGCUACCACUGCAAAGGCACUGAAUAUUUAUUGUUUUUUAACCCACAUAUUUCAGUUUGAGAUUUUUUCUUAAACCCCUUGCUGCCAAUUAAUGUCUUUCACUCGUGGAGUUGUCCAGUUUGAGCAUUCAAGUUUUGAUUAAAAUAUUUCAUUUUAAAUAUUUACAUUGGAAGGGGGUGAAUACUUUUGGAAGAUACUGUAUACUGAAACCGUGUACAAUAAGAUCAUGUCAUCUUGAAUAUGUGCAGUGGUAUGUUUCUCUGUACGAAAUGUGUAGUUUAUUUUUAUUUAAAUAAAUACUGCAAAGGAAGAAAAGACUUGCUCAUUUUAAAGGUGGAAUUCAAGAGGGUGAAGAAGUUACCCAAUUUCUUACUGACUGUGCUGCUUGAAGCAGUGUAUGUUUUAUUACACUCUCAAUGCCAAAGACUCCUACAUGUUUUUACUACACUUCUGAAGAAAAAAGCACAGAGCCAUCAAGGACAGAAGAACUGGAAACACUCUGAAGGCCUAUUAAAUGGAGUUUAUAAUGAAAGAUCGGGAGGGAUGACAACCACGCUCAAUCGUACUCAGAUGUCAGUAAUUAGCAAUUGCUCCCGUCAAUCUUCCUCCACCAAAUGUGCUUUCCUACUCUCCCUCGCGUGCGACAUUUGCAUGUUCGGGUGCGUCUUUCGCAUUGCACAAGCCCGUGCUCAUUACUCUCGCGUUUCGAUCGCCUACGAAUCUGUGAAUUUCCUGCUCCGACAAAGAACCUUUGGCAGCAGAGGAUUCCCCUACGCGCCAAAGCCCACAACCCCACCCCCUCCCUCUCUAUUUUCAUUUCUGCACUCUCCUCGGUCUCCCUCCGGCGUCCUAUGUGGCCCAAGUUCCACUUGCCGUCCCUAAAGCCCCCAGUCCAUCCACCAAACUACCUCCAGCACAGCCAGCAAGCAGCCCGCACCCCUCCUCACCUCCUGGCGUCUAAGACAACUUAGUAGCCCCCGCUGCUCUUCCUCCAGUCAACAGUCAUGUGUCUUGUAUCCCUAUUGCCUCACACACCCUACAUAGAUGUUGCUAAGACACUGCCUACACCAUUGAAUCAAUAUUCCUGUUUGCUGCUGCUGCUUUGCACAGUCGAUCUUUGCCAGAACCAGCUGAUUUUCUCGUUCUCUGUAUACCAGCUAGACACUGAUCUGACUCUUCGCCGCCACGUUUGCAAAUCCCCGGCGUUCAAUUCAGCCCCAGGUUCCCUUUUCUGCUGCUACUGCAGCCAUUUCCUCGGCCCCGGAUCUGUCCGCCGUUCUACCUCCGGCCCAACCAGUGUGAUAGUCACGGUUCUGCGCGGGGUCGUGCCCCCAGCCACCGGUUCCGUCCCCCACACCUGGGGCGCGAACCCGUCUCCAGCAUAACUCAACAGGGCACCAACCGCGUGAGCUAAAGGAGACCUCCCCUAGCCCAGGCAGCUGAGGACUCUGCUACGCGCAGUGAGGGCGCUGACGUCACCACACCAGCUCCGCUACACCAGCAGCAGUCUCAUGUCCCUAUCCCCGACGUUCAAUUUAGGCCCAGGCUUAUUCCUCUCAUCUCUCCUGCUACUGCGGCCAUUUCCUCGGCCCCAGGUCUGUCCGCCGUCCUACCUCCGUCCCAGCCAGGAGUUGUCUCGUGUCCCCAUACCUGGCGUUCAACGUAACCCCGGGUUCCCGUCUCUGCUGUGACUGCGGCCACCUCCUCGGCUCCGGGUCUGUCCGGUGUCCUACCUCUGGCCAAGGCAGCAAUUGUCCUGUGUCUUGUGUCCCUGUCUUAUUUGCGUUUCUGUCUGAUUCAGCUCGAACACUGUUUCGUGUCCUCGUCUCCUUGUGUCUUGAUCCCCUGGUGUUCAGUUUAAAAAAAUAAAUAAAUAAAAAUAAAUCCUUAUCCCUGGUGUUCAAUUCAGCCCUGGGUUCCUUCAUCUUGUCUCCGCUGCUACUGUGGCCAUCUCUUGGGCCCCAGGUCUGUCUGGCAUCCUACUUCUGGCCCACUCAGCAAUCGUCCUGUGUCUUGUUUCCCUAUCCCCUAUCGAGUGCAGGAGUCUCCAAUUUCCAUUGCUGCUUUUGGGGGACACAGUCGCAAACAUGGGCCCGUAUCUAUUCAGACAACAUCACCACCACUAACCCAAUUCAAUAAAGCAGCGAUUUUCUUUCCCAUCUACAAAGAGCCUACAUCCUAAUCUGGUUUCUCAUCAUUUAGACCCUGUGUUCCUUUGAAUUCCCUUCCAUCAACACCUCAAUGCGUACCUAUAAUAAGCAGCUUGCCUAGGCCAACGGAAGCCGACUUCCCUACAGUAAACCUAUACAGAACCUGAACAAACACUCGGACUGCCCUACUGCUGCAACAAUCCAUGAGUCACAGCUCUCAUCUUCUUCAGGCACUUCCAAAUUCUGCAUUGGUGGUUUGGGGUCCUGCUUGGUUCUUUUUGGGGUUCCUGGCCUCCUUGUCCUAUGGCCAGGAGGUCAGCCCCCAGCCAAGCAGGUUAAGCCAAUAUCUGCUCCAUAAUAGUUUGUCACGCUUUGAUCUUGGGAAUUGUCAAAUUUGCUAGGAAUGACAAAUGAGAGGUUCCUGCCUGUUAGAUUUCAAGAUGCCCCCAUCCUUGUUUUCAACACAAGACAUUCCCUGCUACUGCUAAACUUCUUACUACUUCUAUUAAUAAAUCAGCAGAUCUCUCAGUCCUUUGACUCCUCUGUACAGUGACUGUCAUGGUAAUCAUUCUAAGGCAAUCUGAAAUACAAAAUAGAAAUAAAUGCUGUAGAAAAUGAAAAUUAAUAAUGGAAACUGUACUUAUAGAUACUGUGUAUGAGGAUAGUUUAUUUUUUUACUGUUUCCUGUGGGGGGCAGUGUUGGGCAAUAGGAGCCAUUCAUAUUUUUGUUUUGCAAUAUAAAAACAUCUACAGUAGUUCAUUGAAUGCCUUAUUUUUUUUCAAUCAGCAAUGUAUGAAAUCACCACUUUCUUUCCACUGUGCCUCUUCAUAAUGUCUUCAACCAUUUUCACUUGCUCCUUUAGUUUUUUUUUCAACAUUUGAAUUUAUUAAUUCAAAAGCCUCAAUUAUCACAAUUAUGCUGAAUUGUAUCUCUCCAAAGAAGAUGAGGUGAUUUUGUCACUUUAGCUUUAGAGGUAUUGCUGCAAGAGGCUGUAAAUAACUGAUUGCCUAAGCCCAGCUGUGUUUAUUAAAGAGUAUUAAAGGUGUCCAAAGGUCUGUUCUUUUGUAGAAUCCUGGCCAACACUUAUAAGCAGUGCACUAUUCUAGAUAGCAUAGAAUUUUACAGUCAUCUAGGAAUGGAAUUAUCUUAACUUUGAAAUUAAAUAUUGCACUUUUGUAUUUUGCAAUUGCAUACUGUUUGCAAUUUGCAUACUGCUGCCUAUGUACCUUACAAAGAAACAACAGUAAAAAUAAUCAGAACAGUCAUGUAGCAAAUCUCUUAUUUGUGCUGGGGCUAACAUGUACAAGAUAGUUAUGAGGUGCUGAUUUAUGGAAAUACAUGCCAAAACAAGAACACCUGCAUAAUGAGCUGCAGAGCACAAAGUGUUGAAGUGUCCCGUAUCCCUUAGGGUCAGUUCUGGAAGAUGUAGCUGAUGUUUGUGUAUAAUGGAGGCUUGUGAUUGCAUUUGUGCUUCUCUCAAUGAUCCUGGCUGCCUUAGAGAGUUGUGUGAAGGGGGCAGGGCUGCCUGACGGGGACACACGGGCUCAGGUGAGGGCAGUUUAAUGGUUUUGUGUUCAUCAAAACCAGGAUGUGUGCAGGCAGGUUAUGUGGGUACCAACAUGUACAAGACAGUGUGAGGGGCUGCUGCUCUCUAGAAAUAGUGGUCGGUCUCAAGUGGCAGAAGCUUUGGCAUCCCUUUUUCCUCACAAGACAUCCUUUAUCUAGUCUUUCGCUUCCUCUUUAGGAAACCUGUCAAAUAGGACACCCCAUGUACAGGCUUCUGGUUGUAGUCAAAAAGUGAUAUUUUCUUAAAACUCUCAUUUGUGUCAUUAGGUUCUUUAUUUUCACACACUGUAUCUAAAUCCUAGAGGGCUGUUUUAAUUUGCCUACAACUUCUUAAAAACCCCACUUAAACUGCUUGUUUAACCACAAUAUUCUAAUGGUAAAUAUUUGUUUAUUUGUUAUGUUGUUGCUGAUUGUAGUUACAAUAUGGUAAAGUGACUACAGUAUUUAGCUUUUACUAAUAUUUGUGCUGGAAUAACUGUGACUUCAUUUACAAUGAUUUCCAUGAAAAAAACAGAUAAAAUUAAUCCGCUGUUCUCUAGGUCUGAUUAAUGGGGGGAAUAGUGAACAGCUAACUACUGUACUCCUUGAUCUUAUUACCAGUUUUUUGCACUUGGUCUUUAAAGCACAGAAUUGUGUCUAAGCAGUACUUUGCAAAAAUGUGCUGCUUACAGUAAUUAACACAUUAAUAUCUUUCAGUAUAAAAUCUAGCACUGUCUCAAAACAUUACAGAGUCACAGUUAGGACUGC
ensembl:lincRNA